AAUGGCUUAGCUUGGGCUCAGAAGCCUGACACUGAUCUUCAAACACAGAUCUGACCCUAAGCCUUUUUCCACGCUGCUAACGUGAUGACUGUCUUCAGGAUGACCCUCCCCAAAACGCAGCAUCUAGGGUACUUCUACUGUUAUGAUUCUGAGCGUGGGUGAUGGCUCAUCUGGGCACCUACUCUCUGCAAGGCUGUGAACCUGAUCCUCUGAGUAAUCUUCAUGACAGUCCUGAGGGGGUGAAGUUGUCCCCACUUGGGGACAGUGAAUGAUGGAAUGAUCUGAUCCCACAUCUUCUGCCAAAGCACACACCAUAGAAACAAGUACGAAGUGCAUUCUUAAUUCUUCAUGACAGGUGCUGCUUAUUCUAUUUUUAAGGUGGGAAAUUGCAGGUUAUAGAGAAUAAGGUUUUGCAUGAUUGUAGAGCUAGUAAAUGGUGGGUGGGUGGUAACUAUCUCUUCAGGCUGCUGCUUAGAACCUGUAUGCUCCCCAUUCUCAUCCCCUUGCAUCUAAGGUUCCUGUUCCCCAAUGGAAAACCCCUUUGGGAAGCUGAUUCCCCUGCAGCUGUAGAGGGGAGUUUGAGGUUCCCUUGACUCUUCUGUUGAAUGACUGCUGAAUGAAGGUGUCUCCCCUAAAGAGAGCAUUCCUGACACUGUCAUCAUCCCUCCAGUUCUCCCAGAAGCAGACCUUGAGACAAGGAGUUGUGUGCCAGGGAAUUAUCAAUGGAUUGUCUCCAGGAGGAACUGGGAAGGGAGAGGGGAAGCAGGAUAGGAAAGGGUAGAAUUCCAGCAAGGGUAUGAUUUCAGGCAAAUCCCAGCCUGAGCCUGAUCCUGCAGGGUGCUGUGGGGCACAGUGUAGCCUCUUAAUAGGUCUUGAUUCCCAGCAAGGGACCUGAGCUUCUAUUGUCCCCACCAGUCAGUCACUGCAUGGGGGGCUGCCCUAGAACAUAAAGUCCCAGACACUUCUGUCUCUGUGGGUGAGGCCAAAGCAACUCCAAUGCCCCCUGGGAAGUUUCAUUGCUUUCAUCUCUUGUGACCAUCAAUCUAUUGCAACGUGUGCUGUAGCCUACCCCACCCCCAGACGGCUGUCCCUCUGGUCAUUAUUGUCCUAGUCCCAGGACCAGGUGGAGGUCUCCUUAUAAAUCCUAUCUCCCUUUUGUGAAAUGAAGUGGUCGUUUGCAGUGUUUUAAAGGGAGAAUGAAAUAUUCCAGUCAGAAGGACUUUCUUCUGACAGCACGUUACAUGAAAACUGCCAACUCUUUAUACUUAAGACUUCUGUCUACUCAAUUCAUUGAUCCUCCCUCCUCCCCCUCCCACAACACUUAAGCUAUGUAGAAGUGAGUUUCUCAAAGAACUAUCAGGAAGUGUGAGUUGCUCAUUCUUUUGGAAAGCAAUCUAGUGAACUCUAAAAUUCCAAAAUUGCAUGGCCUUUGACCCAGCAGAACUCUAGCCUAGCAAUAGUAAGUACAAUAGUAAGUACUCGACAGGCACACAGUGGUGUUGACUGUAGCCCAUCUUAUAACAUCCAAAGAACUGGGCAUGACCUGCACGUCCAUCCGUAAGGAAGAGGCUGGGGGUGGUGAUCCGUCUGGACUGUGGAACAAGCUUGUCCAACCUGUGGCCUGCAAGCACCCCAGGAUGGCUUUUGUGGCCCAACACAAAUUUGUAAACUUUCUUAAAAUAUAUUUUCACAAUGAUUUUUUUUUAGCUCAUCAGCUAUCGAUAGCGUAUUUUAUUUUAUGUGUGGCCCAAGACCAUUCUUCCAAUAUGGCCAAGGGAAGCCAAAAGAUUGGACACCCUUGGUGUGGAAUACCAUGCGACUGUUAAAAAGAGACCCAUGAAUUCUAUGUUGAAAAUGUGUCCGGGAUGUAUUAGCAAAAAACACACACUGCAGAAUAACAAUACAGUGCAAAUUCCCCCCUCUUUUUUUUGAGACAGGGUUUCUCUCACCCAGGCUGUAGUGCAGUGGUGUGAUCAUAGCUCACUGCAGCCUCAACCUCCCGGGCUCAAGUGAUCCACCUCAGCCUCCCAAAUUGCUGAGAUUAUAGAUGUGAGCCACCGUGACUGGCCGGCAAUCUCACUUUUGCCAAAGUGGGUAAAUCCUACAUGUAUGCAUGUUUACAUAAGAAUGGAGAAAAGUGGGGGAAGUAAUACAUCAAAAGAUGAUGACUGGUUAGUCCUGAGUGAUUGGACAGUAUAGCUCUCUGCAUUACUUUUCCUUAAAGAUACAGCUUUGUAAUAUUGAAUAAGUUACAAAGGUAAACUUUAAAACUGAAAUGUUGGGAGCUGCUGGUUGAAGCAGGAAGGUGGAGCAAGCCUCAUUCCUAGCCUCCAGCUUCCCUCUUCCCUCCUGUUCUCCUGGGCAGGCAUGUGGAUUGCAGGGCCUCACCUCCUUGGUCCUCCUGGGACAUCUCACAUUGACACAGCCCACGCUGCUCAGCCCACCAGCUCUCAGCAGGCCUGCUGCCCCUGCCCUGACCCCGGUUCUCUGAGAGGUUGAAAGGCCAUGGUGAGAUAACCCAGCUCCGUGCCCCCACCUGGCAGAAGAUCAGUUAAAAGGCAUCCAAGCGGAGGACCCCCGUGGCUGCCUAUUUAGAGUUCCUUCAGAGCCUCCCAUGAUAACAGCCACCAUGGCUGAGCGCUUACAUAGCAGAGCUUACAGCUAAGAGCAUGGACUCUGAAAUAAGUCACCUGUCAUCUCCAGGCCUUAGUUUGCUCUUCUGUGAAAUGGGCAUAACGGUACCUCUCAGAGUGGUUAUAACUAAAAGAUCAUAUGCAUGAAAAGACAUACUGCAUGUUGCAUGUUGUCAUGUGGGAACUAAAAGUUGAUCUUGUAGAGUAGAAUAGUGGUUACUGGAGGAUGGGAAGGGUCAGGGGUGCAGGUGGAGAUAGCCCAAGGUAGGUGAAUGGAUACGAAGUUACAGCUAGCUAGGAGGAAUGAGCUCCAGUGUUUUAUAGCAUUGUAGGUGACUGUGAUAGUAAUUUGUUGUAUAUUUUCAAAUAGCCAGAAGGGCAGAUUUUGAAUGUUCCCAACACAAAGAAAUGAUCAAUGUUUAAGGUGAUUUUUAUGUCAAUUACCCUGAUUUGAUCAUUAUACAUUGCAUAACUAUUGUAAUAUCACUGUACCCUAUAAAUAUGUGCAGUUAUGUCAAAUAAAAGCAAAAAUGCUAAAAAAGAU
rnacentral:lncRNA from 10 species